rfam:Schistosoma mattheei strain Denwood, Zambia genome assembly, scaffold: SMTD_scaffold0002843
GCACUGCUGAGGAGUCCCACAAUAGGACAACACGGCCGUCCAGUGC